UCUCCGUAGGUGAACCUGCGGAGGGAUCAUUACAAGUGACCCCGGUCUAACCACCGGGAUGUUCAUAACCCUUUGUUGUCCGACUCUGUUGCCUCCGGGGCGACCCUGCCUUCGGGCGGGGGCUCCGGGUGGACACCUCAAACUCUUGCGUAACUUUGCAGUCUGAGUAAACUUAAUUAAUAAAUUAAAACUUUUAACAACGGAUCUCUUGGUUCUG
rnacentral:misc_RNA from 1 species